rnacentral:snRNA from 1 species
GUGCUCGCUUUGGCAGCACAUAUACUAAAAUUGGAAUGAUACACAGAAGAUUAGCGUGGCCCCUGUGCAAGGAUAAAACACAAAUUCAUGAAGCAUUCCAUAUUUAA